CUACGGGUGGCUGCAGUAGGGAAUAUUGGACAAUGGGCGCAAGCCUGAUCCAGCCAUGCCGCGUGCAGGAUGACGGCCCUAUGGGUUGUAAACUGCUUUUAUAUGGGAAGAAACACUCCGACGUGUCGGAGCUUGACGGUACCAUACGAAUAAGGAUCGGCUAACUCCGUGCCAGCAGCCGCGGUAAUACGGAGGAUCCGAGCGUUGUCCGGAUUUAUUGGGUUUAAAGGGUGCGUAGGCGGAUUAAUAAGUCAGUGGUGAAAGCCUGUAGCUUAACUACAGAACUGCCAUUGAAACUGUUAAUCUUGAGUUAUGUUGAGGUGGAUGGAAUGUAUCAUGUAGCGGUGAAAUGCUUAGAUAUGAUACAGAACACCGAUUGCGAAGGCAGUUCACUAAGCAUAUACUGACGCUGAGGCACGAAAGCAUGGGGAUCGAACAGGAUUAGAUACCCUGGUAGUC
rnacentral:rRNA from 1 species